rnacentral:rRNA from 1 species
CCUACGGGGGGCAGCAGUAGGGAAUCUUCGGCAAUGGGGGCAACCCUGACCGAGCAACGCCGCGUGAGUGAAGAAGGUUUUCGGAUCGUAAAACUCUGUUGUUAGAGAAGAACGUUAAGUAGAGUGGAAAAUUACUUAAGUGACGGUAUCUAACCAGAAAGGGACGGCUAACUACGUGCCAGCAGCCGCGGUAAUACGUAGGUCCCAAGCGUUGUCCGGAUUUAUUGGGCGUAAAGCGAGCGCAGGUGGUUUCUUAAGUCUGAUGUAAAAGGCAGUGGCUCAACCAUUGUGUGCAUUGGAAACUGGGAGACUUGAGUGCAGGAGAGGAGAGUGGAAUUCCAUGUGUAGCGGUGAAAUGCGUAGAUAUAUGGAGGAACACCGGAGGCGAAAGCGGCUCUCUGGCCUGUAACUGACACUGAGGCUCGAAAGCGU